AUGCGUAGGGUCCGAACGUUAUCCGGUAUUAAUGGGCGUAAAGAGAGGCGUAGGCGUCUUAGUAAGUCUUUUGUCAAAGACCAGGGCUCAACCCUGGAACGGCAUUGGAAACUACUAGGAUUGAGACAGAGAGAGGUGAAUGGAAUUCCCGGUGGAGUGGUGAAAUACGUUGAUAUCGGGAGGAACACCAGAGGCGAAGGCGAUUCACUGGCUCUGUUCUGACGCUGAGGCUCGAAAGCGUGGGUAGCAAAACGGAUUAGAUACCCGUGUAGUCCACGCUGUAAACGAUGGAUGCUAGCUGUUUGACAUAACGGUCUUUUUUCUUCGGAAAUUAAAUUGGAGUGUUGAGUGGCGCAGUUAACACGAUAAGCAUCCCGCCUGUGGAGUACGGCCGCAAGGCUAAAACAUAAAUGAAUUGGCGGGGACCCGCACAAGCGGAGGAGCGCGUGGUUUAAUUCGAUGGUAAUCGAAGAACCUUACCAAGGUUUGACAUACUGAUCGUAUCUUUUCGAAAGAUUUGAGUCAGCUAGGCUGGAUCAUGUACAGGUGCUGCAUGGCCGUCGUCAGUUCGUGUCGUGAGAUGUAGGGUUAAGUCCCGAAACGAACGCAACCCCUAUCCUAUGUUAUAUGUGUCUUAGGAAACUGCAUCGGUAAAACGGUGAGGAAGGAGGGGAUGACGCCUGGUCCGCAUGGCCCUUAUACCUUGGGCGACACACGCGCUACAAUGGCCGGUACAACGGGUAGCCAAACCGUAAGGUGGAGCAAAUCCUAAAAAACCGGUCUCAGUUCGGAUUGAGGUCUGCAACUCGACCUCAUGAAGUUGGAUUCGCUAGUAAUCGUAGAUCAGCCAUGCUGCGGUGAAUACGUUCUCGGGUCUUGCACACACCGCCCGUCAAGUCAUGGGAGCAGGUAAUACCUGAAGGGGUCUUGUAUUUAUAUGGGGCUGCGAAGGUAAUGCUUGUAACUGGGACU
rnacentral:rRNA from 1 species